AGCGAACGCUGGCGGCAGGCCUAACACAUGCAUGUCGAGCGCCCCGCAAGGGGAGCGGCAGACGGGAGAGUAACACGUGGGAACGUACCCUUCGGUUCGGAACAACCCAGGGAAACUUGGGCUAAUACCGGAUACGUCCGAAAGGAGAAAGAUUUAUCGCCGAGGGAUCGGCCCGCGUCUGAUUAGCUAGUUGGUGGGGUAACGGCCCACCAAGGCGACGAUCAGUAGCUGGUCUGAGAGGAUGAUCAGCCUCACUGGGACUGAGACACGGCCCAGACUCCUACGGGAGGCAGCAGUGGGGAAUAUUGGACAAUGGGCGCAAGCCUGAUCCAGCCAUGCCGCGUGGGUGAUGAAGGCCCUAGGGUUGUAAAGCCCUUUCGGCGGGGAAGAUAAUGACGGUACCCGCAGAAGAAGCCCCGGCUAACUUCGUGCCAGCCGCCGCGGUAAAGA
rnacentral:rRNA from 1 species